GUCUACAGCCAUGCUACCCUGAACAAGCCCAAUCUUGUCUGAUCUCAGAAGCUAAGCAGGGUUGGGCCUAGUUAGUACUUGGAUGGGAGACCAUCUAGGAAGAUCAGGUGCUGUAGGCA
rnacentral:rRNA from 1 species